ACGGGUGAGUAAUGUCUGGGAAACUGCCCGAUGGAGGGGGAUAACUACUGGAAACGGUAGCUAAUACCGCAUAAUGUCGCAAGACCAAAGAGGGGGACCUUCGGGCCUCUUGCCAUCGGAUGUGCCCAGAUGGGAUUAGCUUGUAGGUGAGGUAACGGCUCACCUAGGCGACGAUCCCUAGCUGGUCUGAGAGGAUGACCAGCCACACUGGAACUGAGACACGGUCCAGACUCCUACGGGAGGCAGCAGUGGGGAAUAUUGCACAAUGGGCGCAAGCCUGAUGCAGCCAUGCCGCGUGUAUGAAGAAGGCCUUCGGGUUGUAAAGUACUUUCAGCGGGGAGGAAGGGAGUGAGGUUAAUAACCUUAUUCAUUGACGUUACCCGCAGAAGAAGCACCGGCUAACUCCGUGCCAGCAGCCGCGGUAAUACGGAGGGUGCAGGCGUUAAUCGGAAUUACUGGGCGUAAAGCGCACGCAGGCGGUCUGUCAAGUCGGAUGUGAAAUCCCCGGGCUCAACCUGGGAACUGCAUUCGAAACUGGCAGGCUGGAGUCUUGUAGAGGGGGGUAGAAUUCCAGGUGUAGCGGUGAAAUGCGUAGAGAUCUGGAGGAAUACCGGUGGCGAAGGCGGCCCCCUGGACAAAGACUGACGCUCAGGUGCGAAAGCGUGGGGAGCAAACAGGAUUAGAUACCCUGGUAGUCCACGCUGUAAACGAUGUCGACUUGGAGGUUGUUCCCUUGAGGAGUGGCUUCCGGAGC
rnacentral:rRNA from 1 species